rnacentral:tRNA from 2 species
GCCAGAGUGGCUCAAUGGUAGAGCACCGGCCUUGUAAUCCGGUGGUUAUGGGUUCGAUUCCCAUCUCUGGCUCCA